GUGCUCCCUUUGGCAGCACACAUGCUAAAAUUGGAAGGAUACAGAGAUCAGCAUGGCCCCUGCACAAGGAUAACACGCAAUGCUGGCUCCACCAGGGGUCUUU